UACGUAGGGAGCGAGCGUUGUCCGGAUUCAUUGGGCGUAAAGAGCUCGUAGGCGGCUUGAUAAGUCGGAUGUGAAACCUCCAGGCUCAACCUGGAGUCGCCAUCCGAUACUGUCAUGGCUAGAGUCCGGAAGAGGCGAGUGGAAUUCCUGGUGUAGCGGUGGAAUGCGCAGAUAUCAGGAGGAACACCGAUGGCGAAGGCAGCUCGCUGGGACGGUACUGACGCUGAGGCGCGAAAGCGUGGGGAGCGAACAGG
rnacentral:rRNA from 1 species